rnacentral:rRNA from 1 species
UACGGGGGGGGCAAGCGUUGUUCGGAAUUACUGGGCGUAAAGGGCUCGUAGGCGGCCAACUAAGUCAGACGUGAAAUCCCUCGGCUUAACCGGGGAACUGCGUCUGAUACUGGAUGGCUUGAGUUCGGGAGAGGGAUGUGGAAUUCCAGGUGUAGCGGUGAAAUGCGUAGAUAUCUGGAGGAACACCGGUGGCGAAGGCGGCAUCCUGGACCGUAACUGACGCUGAGGCACGAAAGCGUGGGUAGCAAACAGG